rnacentral:lncRNA from 1 species
GGAGGUUGCCUGGCAGUCAGUUUUGAUGACCAGGCCUAGGAGCCACUCUCAAAUCCAAUUCUCCCUACUUUUGAACCGAUUCAGAAGACUCGGAGACCUUGGAACAAAUAAUUCUUGUCCUAAAUUGGAAACCAUAAAUCUGAGUAUCUUCAAGCAGGAGUGAAAACAUCAUGGCUAAGUCUUCAUAUCACUGAUACUUGCGGGAGUUCCCGAUCUGGCUGAACCACUGGAGAGAAGACGGUUCCCUUGAGAAAUAGCCAGCACUGUCUGCCAGUUAGAUGGGAAAAGUUAGA